AGAGUUUGAUCCUGGCUCAGAUUGAACGCUGGCGGCAGGCCUAACACAUGCAAGUCGAGCGAGAAAGCACUUCGGUGCGAGUACAGCGGCGGACGGGUGAGUAACGCGUAGGAAUCUACCCAGUAGUGGGGGACAACAUGGUGAAAACCAUGCUAAUACCGCAUACGCCCUACGGGGGAAAGCGGGGGACCUUCGGGCCUCGCGCUACUGGAUGAGCCUGCGUUGGAUUAGCUUGUUGGUGAGGUAAAGGCUCACCAAGGCGACGAUCCAUAGCUGGUCUGAGAGGAUGAUCAGCCACACUGGGACUGAGACACGGCCCAGACUCCUACGGGAGGCAGCAGUGGGGAAUAUUGCGCAAUGGGCGAAAGCCUGACGCAGCCAUGCCGCGUGUGUGAAGAAGGCCUUAGGGUUGUAAAGCACUUUCAAUUGGGAAGAAAAGCUAAAGGUUAAUAACCUUUAGCCCUGACAUUACCUUUAGAAGAAGCACCGGCUAACUCCGUGCCAGCAGCCGCGGUAAUA
rnacentral:rRNA from 1 species